AUCGCUUCUCGGCCUUUUGGCUAAGAUCAAAGUGUAGUAUCUGUUCUUAUCAGCUUAAUAUCUGAUACGGGCUUUCCUUUGGCCUCCAACUUCUUCUAACAUUUCCUCUGCUCUCAAUUCUU
rfam:Daphnia pulex DAPPTscaffold_109_Cont4691, whole genome shotgun sequence.